rnacentral:rRNA from 1 species
UGGGGAAUUUUGGACAAUGGGCGAAAGCCUGAUCCAGCAAUGCCGCGUAUGUGAAGAAGGCCUUCGGGUUGUAAAGCACUUUUGUCCGGAAAGAAAUCCUUGGCUCUAAUACAGUCGGGGGAUGACGGUACCGGAAGAAUAAGCACCGGCUAACUACGUGCCAGCAGCCGCGGUAAUACGUAGGGUGCAAGCGUUAAUCGGAAUUACUGGGCGUAAAGCGUGCGCAGGCGGUUUGCUAAGACCGAUGUGAAAUCCCCGGGCUCAACCUGGGAACUGCAUUGGUGACUGGCAGGCUAGAGUAUGGCAGAGGGGGGUAGAAUUCCACGUGUAGCAGUGAAAUGCGUAGAGAUGUGGAGGAAUACCGAUGGCGAAGGCAGCCCCCUGGGCCAAAUACUGACGCUCAUGCACGAAAGCGUGGGGAGCAAAACAGGAUUAGAUACCCUGGUAGUCCACGCCCUAAACGAUGUCAACUAGUUGUUGGGGAUUCAUUUCCUUAGUAACGUAGCUAACGCGUGAAGUUGACCGCCUGGGGAGUACGGUCGCAAGAUUAAAACUCAAAUGAAUUGACGGGGUCAUAGCUGUUUCCU